rnacentral:rRNA from 1 species
CUCAGAGCGAACGUUGGCGGCGUGGAUUAGGCAUGCAAGUCGAACGAGAAAGCGCCCUUCGGGGCGUGAGUACAGUGGCGAACUGGUUAGUAACAGGUGGAUAACGUGCCCUUCAGCGGGGGAUAGCCUCUGGAAACAGGGAUUAAUACCGCGUACGCCCUCCCCAUCACAAGACGGGGAGGGGAAAGACCUCGGUCACUGAAGGAUCGGUCCGUCCCUGAUUAGCUUGUUGGUGAGGUAACGGCUCACCAAGGCGACGAUCAGUAGCUGGUCUGAGAGGAUGGUCAGCAACACUGGGACUGAGAUACGGCCCAGACUCCCACGGGAGGCAGCAGUCUAGAAGCUUCCACAAUGGACGAAAGUCUGAUGGAGCGACGCCGCGUGCGGGAUGAAGCCCUUGCGGGUGUAAACCGCUGUCAGCAGGGAAGAAUGCCCUGAUGGUGAAUCAGGGAGAGACGGUACCUGCAGAGGAAGCACCGGCUAACUCCGUGCCAGCAGCCGCGGUAAUACGGAGGAUGCAGGCGUUAUCCGGAUUUAUUAGGUUUAAAGGGUGUUCAGGCUGCCUGGUAAGUCAGGGGUGAAAGUCGGUUGCUCAACGAUCGAAUUGCCUUUGAAACUGUCAGGCUCGAGUAUGGAUGCGGUAGGCGGAAUGUGUAGUGUAGCGGUGAAAUGCAUAGAUAUUACACAGAACACCGAUUGCGAAGGCAGCUUACCAAACCAGCACUGACGCUGAAGCACGAAAGCGUGGGGAGCGAACAGGAUUAGAUACCCUGGUAGUCCACGCCGUAAACUUUGCUCACUCGCUGUUGGCGAUAGACAGUCAGCGGCCAAGGGAAACCGAUAAGUGAGCCACCUGGGGAGUACGGCCGCAAGGUUGAAACUCAAAGGAAUUGACGGGGGCCCGCACAAGCGGUGGAACAUGUGGUUUAAUUCGAUGAUACGCGAGGAACCUUACCUGGGCUUAAAUGUGAAGUGCAUUGAUUGGAAACAAUCAUUUCCUUCGGGACCCUUUACAAGGUGCUGCAUGGUUGUCGUCAGCUCGUGCCGUGAGGUGUCGGGUUAAGUCCCAUAACGAGCGCAACCCCUAUUGUUAGUUACUAGCGCGUGAUGGCGGGGACUCUAGCGAAACUGCCGGUGUAAACCGCGAGGAAGGUGGGGAUGACGUCAAAUCAGCACGGCCCUUAUGUCCAGGGCUACACACGUGUUACAAUGGCCGGUACAGCGGGCAGCUAGGCAGCGAUGUCAUGCUAAUCCCGAAAGCCGGUCCCAGUUCGGAUUGGAGUCUGCAACCCGACUCCAUGAAGGUGGAAUCGCUAGUAAUCGCGCAUCAGCCAUGGCGCGGUGAAUACGUUCNCCGGGCCUUGUACACACCGCCCGUCAAGCCAUGGAAGUCUGGGUGCCUGAAGCCGUAACCGCAAGGAGCGGUCUAGGGUAAACAGAUGACUGGGGCUAAG